rfam:Echinostoma caproni strain Egypt genome assembly, scaffold: ECPE_scaffold0003880
GCACUGCUGACGAGUCCCAAACAGGACGAAACAGAUGCCCAGUGC